AUUGAACGCUGGCGGCAGGCCUAACACAUGCAAGUCGAGCGGAUGAAGGGAGCUUGCUCCUGGAUUCAGCGGCGGACGGGUGAGUAAUGCCUAGGAAUCUGCCUGGUAGUGGGGGAUAACGUCCGGAAACGGGCGCUAAUACCGCAUACGUCCUGAGGGAGAAAGUGGGGGAUCUUCGGACCUCACGCUAUCAGAUGAGCCUAGGUCGGAUUAGCUAGUUGGUGGGGUAAAGGCCUACCAAGGCGACGAUCCGUAACUGGUCUGAGAGGAUGAUCAGUCAAAACGGGACCUGGAAAAGGGCCCGAACUCCAACGGAGGGCAGCAGUGGGAAUAUUGGACAAUGGGCGAAAGCCUGAUCCAGCCAUGCCGCGUGUGUGAAGAAGGUCUUCGGAUUGUAAAGCACUUUAAGUUGGGAGGAAGGGCAGUAAGUUAAUACCUUGCUGUUUUGACGUUACCAACAGAAUAAGCACCGGCUAACUUCGUG
rnacentral:rRNA from 1 species